GGUCUAUCAGUAGAUCCCUACAUUUAUUUUAAUAACAAUACAGAGGAGAUUAGCAUAGCCCUGUGCAAGGAUGAGAAUGUUGAUUCAUGUAUCAUUCCAUAGUUUG
ensembl:snRNA U6 U6 spliceosomal RNA